GACGAACGCUGGCGGCGUGCUUAACACAUGCAAGUCGAGCGGGGAUACGAGGGAGCUUGCUCCUGAGUAUUCUAGCGGCGGACGGGUGAGUAACGCGUGAGCAACCUUUCUCUCAGUGGGGAAUAACACAGGGAAACUUGUACUAAUACCGCAUGAGACCACAGAACCGCAUGGUUUAGGGGUCAAAGAUUUAUUGCUGAGAGGUGGGCUCGCGUCUGAUUAGGUAGUUGGUGAGGUAACGGCCCACCAAGCCGACGAUCAGUAGCCGACCUGAGAGGGUGAUCGGCCACAUUGGGACUGAGACACGGCCCAAACUCCUACGGGAGGCAGCAGUGGGGGAAUAUUGGGCAAUGGGGGAAACCCUGACCCAGCAACGCCGCGUGGAGGAAGAAGGUUUUCGGAUCGUAAACUCCUGUCCUCAGGGAAGAGCAGAAGACGGUACCUGAGGAGGAAGCCCCGGCUAACUACGUG
rnacentral:rRNA from 1 species